GACGAACGCUGGCGGCGUGCUUAACACAUGCAAGUCGAACGAAGAGCGAUGGAAGCUUGCUUCUUUACAUCUUAGUGGCGAACGGGUGAGUCACGCGUAAUCAACCUGCCCUUCAGUGGGGGACAACAGUUGGAAACGACUGCUAAUACCGCAUACGAUCUAAUCUCGGCAUCGAGGAUAGAUGAAAGGUUGUGUCUACAUGUAAGCUAUCACUGAAGGAGGGGUUUGCGGCUGCUUAGGUAGGUGGGGGGGUAACGGGCCACCCAGGGGAUGAACAGUAGCCCGGCUGAGAGGAGGAACGGGCCCAUUGGGACUGGGACACGGCCCAGACUCCUAAGGGAGGCAGCAGGGGGGAAUCUUCCGGAAUGGACGAAAGGCUGACGGGGCAACGCCGGGGGAGGGAUGACGGCCUUCGGGUUGUAAAGCUCGGUUUAUCGGGGCGAAAGGCCUUCUUGCGAAUAGAGAGAAGGAUUGACGGUACCGGAAUAGAAAGCCACGGCUAACUACGUG
rnacentral:rRNA from 1 species